ACAACACACCCACGUGAGCCUGCCACCCUACAGCACCCACCAAUCCAACACCCCACCUCGUCGUCUCCCCCCCUCUCACCUGCUGGCCAUUUCAAAAUCUCUCUCCUCCUUUACACCAUAGAACUUGCGGUUCACCUCCUAGAUACGGCGGCACGUUUCCUUCCUCUCCGACGGUUUGCCGAGCAUGGUGGCCUCCUCUCCGGCUCCUCCCUGAUGGUGCCUCUCCCUCGACCGCGGCGGCCCCACACCCCUAGCGUAUGCAUCACAUCCAGAGGCUAGGGAGCAUCUGUGAUGAUGCAGCAUCCUAUCCUCGACUCCAUCGAUGGUGGCGCCCCCUCCCGUCCUCGACUUCACCGGCAGGGGCGCACCCGUCCUCUCACGAAGAUGAGCCACCAUAGCAGCCGGUGACAUCCUGAGGAAGCAGAUCCAGGCGGCCCGGCCAGCGAGCUCGGCAACUGUAGCGAUGGGGUGUGGCCAGGCCCGCACGCUCGGUGGCUCCUUCCCCGAUGCCCUCCCCUCACCGAUGGUAGCAGAUGGAGUGUUCAGCGGCUGGCUAUGUGCUUGGAUGACGGACGAUGGCGUCGUAGCGGCUGCAGGGAUGGCUCGUAUACAUAUAUUAUCGUGUCAUGGCUUUAAGCUCUUCCAGGCCAUGAGCGCCGAGCCCCGGACCCCUUCCCCAACAUCUCCGGCAAUGUCAACAGCACCGGCACCUCUUUCUUAGUGACCAUGGUCCCCAUCCCCCAUCUCCAGCAAAGGCACCCUCCCACAUCUUCAGCAAGCAUGGUUUUCUGUAUAAUAUUGAUGCGUCCAUUUAGAAACAUUAUUUUUUGUCUGCGUACAUAAAUUUAUAUGCAUACUAAUUAUGAUUUGGUAAUCUGACUAAAUAAAAUAUUUAUUUAUGAUGGUUUGUGCUUAUUCUUGAUUUAAUGUGAAUGCAACUCAAAUCUUUCCCUGCGAAUUUAUUUUUGUCCUUCCAUACAUAAGGUUCUAUGCAUAACAAUUAUGACUUGACAAUCUGACUAAAUAAAUAAUGGUUUUCACAUAUUGUUUUCAUGUACUUUGAUUUUUUAUUUCUAUACUUCUUGAGCCAACCGUGUAAUUAAGAAAUCAUAUGGAAUUCUAUACAUUGUUAGAGCACAUUUUAUACAUUGUUGGAACAUAAUUUUAUACAUUUAUAUAUUGUUGGAACUCAAUUUUAUAUGUCUUAUGCUUUUCAAUUUUCUAGUAUUUGCAUCAAUGUGAGUUUCUAUUCUAGCAUUAGUGAGUUUCUAUGCAUACAUUCAAUUUUAUUUGAUAAGAGGCUAAAAUUGCCUGUUUUUUUUUGUGAAACUACAUAUAUGAGCGUAGUGCCAAUUGGCGGUGGCGGAUGGGGGCGUGGACAACGGUAAUGGCAUGGCGCGGUCAAGGAUGUCUUCCACGGAUCCACUUUUGAUUUUUUAUACUUCUUGAGACACAGUUUCCAUGCCAUGGAUUUUUGUGUUUUGAUUCAAUUUAGUGUCUAUGCAUUAUUCCUCUAUUAAUUGUAUGUCCCCAAAGGGACAAAAUGGUUUGGGUUGUGUUUUUCACGGUUUUUGGAUAAAUAAAUCUCCUACAUAGGAGGGUUUUAUUAGGUUCUAUACAUUGUUUCUCUAUUAAUUAUACAUCCACAUAAGUAGGAGGAAAAGGAAAAGUUUAUGUUAGGACCAUAAUUCAUUUUUGUGCAUAUUUUAUACGUUGUUGGGUGGGUGCGGCCAGCUAGUCGAGGGAAUAGGUGAAUUUUUUAUGAACGUGAAUUAUGUUUUUUGCUGUAUAAAAAUAUUUGUCACUGGGACUAUUUAGUACUACGUCUCCCAAAAUGAAUUUUGUUGAAUCGGAUGGCUCAUGUCCGUGGUCUGAUUAUUUAUGCCGUGACGUGUGGAGGGAUGAGAAUUUCUGACCAUUAUUUUCUCUAAGUUGCACUUUCAGCUCAUGUUGGAAAUAUGUUUUUGCGCACGCUAAAAACAUGUUUCUAUGCUAUUCUAUAUGCCUUUCAUGCCACUAUAAGGUUUCUAUACAUGCUAAAACAUGUUUCUAUAUGUUAUAAAAACACAUGUUUCUAUGUUGUUUCUUCCUCACAGAUGUUAGUUUUGUUCAAAAAAAUAUUUUUUGCUUUUCUUUGGUUACUAUGUUUACAUGCAUAAUUUUUAGUUUUGAUUUGUUGUGUUUUUUGGCCAGCAAAUCAGAAAAACAAUUUUCCUCUUGUUGUUCCUACUAGUACUGUCUAGUAGUAAAAAAUAUAUAUGUCUGCUAUGCAUGCCUAAUGAAAAGUCUAUGGAGAUUGCUUGCUUCUUGUUUCUUCUAGUGGUAAAGUUUCUAUGCAGUUCAGGGUUGUUGGUUUUGCAAGUAAAUUUGGUCAUCCGUAUGUCUGUGAUUUGAAUAUAAAUUGUGAAUUAGAUUAUUUGCAAGGAUGUCAGUCAUCUAUGUUUCUUUCCCCUGCAAGCAGGUUUCUAUGCAUGGUAAAACUAUGAUUUCAAAGAUGUUGGACGAGCACUGUGCUUAGUUGCAUAGAUUUCCACACAAAUUGAAUUCAUACUCAUUGUUUUGUUUGUUGAUUUUGUGUUCUUAUAAUUGUAUGCAUAAGUUUCUAUACAUAGCUAAACUGUAACUUGCUAUAUAUUGAUGGUAUACAAUUCUACACAUUAUUGAUUUAUAAUUCUAUACAUUGUUAGAGCAGUUUUUAUGUGGUAAAAAAUAACUUUUAUUCACCGAAAUACUAAUUUCUAUGCAAUGCGAUAAAAACAUUUAUGUGCAUAUUGACUACUAAUUCUAUGGUGUGAGUAUGAGUAGUAAUGGUGUUGCUGUAAUCGGCCCCCAUACUAUGAAGCAUGAUGUUAUAGAGAAUAAUGAUUGUGUCAGGCGGAAUAUCCCAUCUUGUGGAGAGGUUUUUACGCAUCAAUAAAAAUUAUUGUUAUUUAUUCAACUACUAAUUUAUAUGCAAUGUAGCACUAAAAAUCUUUAUGUGCAUCUUGACUAUUGAUUCCAUGUACCUAAUCGGUAAUGGUUUUUGUGCGCCAUUGUAAGGGUUUUUGUGCACCAUUGUAAGGGUUUUUGUGCCUGCUCAAAACAUGUUUCUAUGUCUUUGUUGUGGUGUAGGAUGGUCGAAAGGAUUCCUCUAUUUGGUGUGAGGUCAAUGGUGGCUCGUCAUAGGACAUGGCUUGCGACAUUCGCAACUUCCUUGGCUUGUGACAAUGGCGUAGUUUGAUAUUCGAUAUAGUUGAUAGGUUAAUGUAAAAAGUUAGUUUUUCAUAUGUUGUGGUUAUAUACUUGGAUGAUACGGGUGAAACUAUUGGUUUUUAUGUAACCUCUGUUGGGUUUCAAUUUUUGGUUGACUUAGUGUCUAUGGAUAUUAUGAGUUGGGAACAUUAUGGAUAGUCCACAUCUAAUGUGUAGUGUUUUGUAUGUUUUAUUCUCCUAGAGGGAAUUAUGGUGUAAGGUUUCUAUACAUUGUUUCUCUAUUAAAUAAACAUAUCCUGGUGCAAAAAA